GCCGGAAUAGCUUAGUUGGUAGAGCGUAAAACUGAAGUUCUAGGUGUCCUCGGUUCGAUCUCGGGUUCUGGCU
rfam:Schistosoma haematobium scaffold1124_11, whole genome shotgun sequence.